GAGUUUGAUCAUGGCUCAAGAUGAACGCUAGCGGCAGGCCUAAUACAUGCAAGUCGAGGGGCAGCGGGAGUAGCAAUACUUGCCGGCGACCGGCGCACGGGUGCGUAACACGUAUACAAUCUGCCCAUAUCAGGGGGAUAGCCCGGAGAAAUCCGGAUUAAUACCCCAUAAUAGUAGAGAAGGCAUCUUCUUUAUUUGAAAGCUACGGCGGAUAUGGAUGAGUAUGCGUCUGAUUAGUUAGUUGGUGAGGUAACGGCUCACCAAGACAUCGAUCAGUAGGGGAUCUGAGAGGACUACCCCCCACACGGAUACUGAGACACGGAUCCGACUCCUACGGGAGGCAGCAGUAAGGAAUAUUGGACAAUGCCCGCAAGGGUGAUCCAGCCAUGCCGCGUGCAGGAAGAAGGCCCUAUGGGUCGUAAACUGCUUUUACACCGGAGAAAACCCCCUUACGUGUAAGGGGCUGAUAGUAUGGUGAGAAUAAGC
rnacentral:rRNA from 1 species